rnacentral:misc_RNA from 1 species
AAGUCGUAACAAGGUUUCCGUAGGUGAACCUGCGGAAGGAUCAUUAACACGUAUCCAACGUUAAACCCCCCGUGAACUUUUAUUGCGAACCACGCCUUUGAAGUAGCAAUCCCUGGUAAAUCAUCGCCGAACAGUUUUGAUUCAGGGAUCUCUGCGAAGAGAGCGGUUGUCGCGCGAGGUAAGUGGCCUGGCAUUCCUCUGCUUGUUAGUGUCUGGUACGAAUGGCGCAGUCACGAUCGCUAGAGGCCGACACGGCCGGCGACCGGGUCACCGGGCAUAGACCCCCCUAUCACCUUUGCAUGAAAACGGGCCUGCGCUUAAUUGUGCGGCCACCAAACUCGAACAACUGUUAACAAUGGAUAUCUUGGUUCUC